GGGGCCGACCGGAUUUGACAGUAGGUGUAGGUCGAGUGUAAGCAUGCCAGGUGUUGUUGGUAUUACCUGUAAAUAAAACUUUCACAACAAUAAUUGGCGAGUCUAACUACGCCCUUGCUGCCUAAACAAUAGUUUAACCAGCAAUGUGUCUCGCUAGCCCCCUGUUCUGCCGGGCUGGCAACAGAGGCAUCGAAUGCGGAACUAGUCGCUGCAGGUUCGUGAUGCAGUGGCGAAACUAACCGCGAAUAAGGGUCAUUUUUAGGUCCGUUGCCAACCUUGAUGACUUCGAAAACCCAAUGGCAAAUAAGCAUGUAGAAAGCGCUACGGUUUCCUUAGCUGGACGAGGGUUCGAAUCCCUCCGGCUCCACAG
rnacentral:tmRNA from 1 species